CUGCUCUCGGCCAUACAGCAUAAUAGUAUUUAGAGCUUCCAGCACGGAGUCUGAAUUUACGGCCUGGUUUCAGAAAGGACGAGCUAUUAUCAAACCCAUUGUGCAUUUGCGUAUUCAUCAGCCAUAUAGAGGAGGUAAAGAGCUGGGAAGAAAGAGCAGAAAUGAAUGGUCAAUAGCGAAGGCCUCCAGGAAAACAGAUUAAAAGGUCUAUUUAUUUUCUUCCCAGCAGAAGCUGACAAAGGGCCGUGCAUGGUUCCCCACCCCCAUUCCUUCCCACAGCAGUUGCCCAUGGGCUGCAGCCUCCUCCUGCAUUUCUCCACACCGCGCUCCUCUCCUGCAUGUUCUCUCAUGCACCAGCAGCUGCAUACAGGAGCGUGGAUGAAAUCAUUCCCGCUUCCACUUCUUGCAUCGCGCGCUCUCUGACCUCUGUGGCCACACGUGCCAUAUGAUGGGCCUUUCCUGACGCGGUGCACUUAUAAACUAACAUUAGUGGUAAGCUCUUGGCCUACUUUUAUGUUAUCUAUUUGCUCAAGCCCAGAAUGCAGUCCUGGGAUUGCUUUUCUCUCUUAACACUUCAGUGCCUAGAGUCUGGAGGCCCAAUUAUGUAACCACUUCUGACUUGUCUGACGUGAGGAAUAAUGAGAGUGCUGCAGACCCGAUUUGAUCUAAUUUCCCGUCCUCUUUUCAAUUCAGGCUUUGGUCUGCGUUUAGACAAAGGCGCUUUUGAGAGCUAGGGAGACUUGGUGAGGAGGAUGGGAUGGAAGCCUUUAAAUAUUUGAAUGUAGCCGUAAGUAGGCGGUAAAGCUUUAGACCUGUGUGAAAGGUAGGGGAGGGUGCUGACCUGAGCCCAGCUGCUCUGAGGUAUUUCCAUGCUGGGCCUGAGGAUGAAGCCAGCCCUGGGAAGUUCGCUGUGCUGAGCAGAGAACAGACCCUGCAUUGCAGUUCCUUCACCCUCACUGGCAAACAGAACGAGGAGGUGAGCUUGGGAGGCAGGGAGUGCCUACUGAAACACCUGCUAAAGCUGAGCUCUUAAAAAAAAACCUGAAAAUUAUUUAAAUGCGAAAAAGAGUGGGUUGAUCUGGAAAAGAAACUUCUCAAAAGACUAAAAUUAGAAUAGAAUGUGUUAGAAGAGAAAUACUGGUGGGGGAGGAGGACUAAGGUUUUUAAAAUAAAGCGCUACUGCUUGAGUAAUGAUCAAGGAAAUUCUGGUUAGGAUGCUAGCAGUUGCUCCAACCCAGAGCAAUUACUGACUUAUAAUAAUUAUGUUUCCCUAAAGAUAGAUAUACAAUAAAGACUCAGGUUUUUUUUUUCUGAGAUGGUCCAAAACAAGACUCAGCUUGAUGUUUAUAAAUGAGACUUUGGGGCAAAUCCUGUUACUGUACGAAAUAAAUGGCUCUUUUUUUAGAGCAACUGAUAACUGAAGAAAUAUGCUUCAAAUUUGAAAUAUGCUUUGCAGAUGAAGUUCAGCUGUCCCAAAGUUGCAUGAAUGAGCAUCCUUUCUGCUUGCAGAAAUCUUGUCAAGGUUUUACCAGCUUGCAAUAGACUUUGGUAUUAGUGGAAGAUUACCUGUCCUCUGGAAAUCCUGCCAUUAGCUUCUCCUGACAGUGCCUUUGAAAUGCUAAAUCUCUGCUGAAUGCAUCUUGUCUAGAGGGUGACAAGGAACAGCUGUCACAGUUCAACUCAAGCUAAUACAGUCAAGCACUAUUUUUGUGCCUUUCAUUGAAAACUACCAUAUGAGUAUACCUUCCUUUUUUGAUGGCCUCCCUUCAGAUGGAACAAGUUGCUGAGAGCUUUCUUGGAGACUAUGAACUUCUGUUUCUAACAAACAAUUAUGCUAAUGGAUGGAAAGUACCUCUCCUACAGACUGAGCUGCUGUUUGCAUGUCUGUAACAGCUAGACAGCAUCUUGAGGAGCUCUAGGUCAAAGGGUGAUGGCCAGAUACAAAGCAGUCUGCGGGUCCUUCACACGUGGGUUAACCAACAUGGCUCGCUCGAGCUUUCUUCAGAGGCGUGGAAUCAGGACUCCGUGCCCUUGCCAGAAGGAAGGGAAGUGGAGCAGAGGUGCAGUCCGAGGGAGAGGACUUGCGAGCCCCGAAGGCAGCAGGGCCGUGCCGGGCCGCGAGUGCCUCCCGCCCGCGACAGCACCAUGGAGAGCGCCCGGGGAGCCGCGCCGCACCGCACAGUACCGGACCGUACAGCAAAAUGGCCGCUGCUCCGCGUCUCGCCGUGCAAGUGGGCUCACGCGGGCUGGGGCCAGCGAGCUGGUAGGAACGUGUUCCUGCCCGCACCUUCCAGCCAGCUCGGAGGGAAAUCGAUCUGCUCUCUUUCCACAAGUCAGCAGUGUGUGUAAAGGGUAUGCAGCAAGCCACUAAGUCUGCAGUUGCUAUUCUCUACGAACCAAGGUUUGGUUGUCCCCAAACAAAGCAACACCAUUAGAGCACUUAAAUAAAUACAUGCACAAAUAAAUCUGGCUCUGCGUUCAUCCGUAGAUACUUGGCUAGGUUAAAGUCAGCCUCUGAGACAGCAACCCUGAUGCACUUCCAAGAGUGAUGAAACUGCUGCUCGGGUGGUUUCACUCAAUUUCUCAUAAUCAAAUAUAUCUUUCAAGGCAAUAAAUAAGUAUAAGAAAUAUCUAACCUCAGAAAUGAAAGUCCAACAAACAAAAAGACCAAAAAGAAAAAAAAAAAAAAGCCACGCUCAGAAGAAGAGUUUGCAAAUAUUUCUGAACUCUCAUUUCAAAAAUGACAGGAGCUAAUUGUUGCUUUGGUCGUGCUGCUUGUAUCCUGAACGUUAAAAGGAAUUAAUAGGAAAAGGUAUCAAUUUGUCACAACAGUGCUAAUUAAUGUUUUACAUUUUUUUUCUCUCUUUUAAUAGAUAAUUUGCUGUAAUGAGUAUAUCAGGGCUAAGUGAGAAUGGGGCUGCAAUAGUGUUUUUCUCAAAUUUCUGAAGUUAUUUAACCUACUCUCAGUAUUAACCUACUGCAGGGACCCUGCUUUAGCUGGGGAGUUGGACUCAAACUCCGACCGCUACCAUUUUGUGGUUCUGUGAUUCAUGAUGCAUGAAGAUUCAAAUGAAAAAUGUCCCUUUUUAUAAAUUGAAGAACAAGGUAUUCUGUUUCUUUAGUAUCAGGAAAAUGUUUAUUCAGCACGAGCUGUGGUGUAUUAUAAAUAAAGGUCCAGCUGACUUAAAAAUUACCACCUGCACUGAAUUUUUCAUAAUUAUACUUGAUGUAUGCUAUUGGUAUUGAAACAUUCGUCAAUCCGUUCUCUACUUCUGUGCUUAAAACAAUAUAAAAUAUUUGUCUGACUUAAUUCAGACACCUUCAAGGCAAGCAACGUAGAAACUUACAAACUGUUUCAUAUUGGCAUAAAAACAUCGAUCUGUCUUUGUUCUUAUGCAAGUCCUGCUCUU
rnacentral:lncRNA from 1 species